rnacentral:rRNA from 1 species
GACGAACGCUGGCGGCGUGCUUAACACAUGCAAGUCGAGCGGUAAGGCCCUUUCGGGGGUACACGAGCGGCGAACGGGUGAGUAACACGUGGGUGACCUGCCCUCAGCUCUGGGAUAAGCCUGGGAAACUGGGUCUAAUACCGGAUAUGACUCCAUGACGCAUGUUGUGGGGUGGAAAGCCUUGUGCGGCUGAGGAUGGGCCCGCGGCCUAUCAGCUUGUUGGUGGGGGAUGGCCUACCAAGGCGACGACGGGUAGCCGGCCUGAGAGGGCGACCGGCCACACUGGGACUGAGACACGGCCCAGACUCCUACGGGAGGCAGCAGUGGGGAAUCUUGCGCAAUGGGCGAAAGCCUGACGCAGCGACGCCGCGUGAGGGAGUGACGGCC